GGUGUUGACUUGUUUGUUGACAAAGAUCGACUCGAAGAUUCGCUGUACCGGCUUUGGCAGAUAUGCUGACAUCCAAUGGGAAGCAGUGUUCUGUUUAUGGAUGCGACAACUUUGCCUUCAAGAAAGAUGGAACUAGCACAGGAUACAUUGUUUUUCAAAGACUGAAAAAGGUUUUGGAACAAAGGAAAUUGUGCUCAUAUUCUUUGAUAAAUAUAUGAAUGGAGCACAUUUCCAUUGGACUUAUAAGUAAAAAAAACUGGACAUUAAAACCUGACCAGGCACCAAAAGUCUUCUCAUGGAUAACUGUACAUACUCCUAGAAAAAAGUCCAUUGAAGAGGUCAACAACCAUGAAUGAGACUACCACUGGAAUCGGUUGUAGAUGAUUCUGAGAAUUUGGAUGUUUCUGAACUACAUGUAUUUGGAGUGGAAAUUGGAAUUCAAGCAGGUCCUGGCACUAGUGAUGUAGGCUGCCAGACAGAUGAUGGUGAUGUGACAAAUGUCUGUGAUCAUAACCACUCUAGCGACCACAUUCUUGACCACAUUUACAGUUUUCAUGCCGAUGAUGAUGGCGAGAAUGAAAUUGAAAAUCUACAGAUAGAAAUUGAAAAACUGUCAACACAAAUAAAUGAUAUGGAAGAUCGAUUGAAUGAAUUUAUAGGGAAUGGUUUUUCCGUUGAAAAAAAUAAAAAUGACCCAAAAGCAUGACUUUUUGUAUACAGGAUUUAUUUACUGUUCUGUGUUUGAGUGCAUAUUAAAAUACUUAUCUCCAAAAGCAGAAAACUGUUAUUGGUGAGGUAAAGGUGUAUUUGUUUGCUCAUCUGAGAAAAUAAAAACUUUCAAAUUUUAA